rnacentral:rRNA from 1 species
UACGGGGGGGGCAAGCGUUAUUCGGAAUUAUUGGGCGUAAAGGGCGCGUAGGCGGCUAGAUGUGUCAAAGGUGAAAUCCCUCGGCUCAACUGAGGAACUGCCUUUGAAACUGUCUGGCUUGAGGCCGGGAGAGGGUAGCGGAAUUCCCAGUGUAGCGGUGAAAUGCGUAGAUAUUGGGAGGAACACCAGAGGCGAAGGCGACUUCCUGGACAAUUGCUGACGCUCAGGCACGAAAGCGUGUGGAGCCAAAGGG